AGAGUUUGAUCAUGGCUCAGAUUGAACGCUGGCGGAAUGCUUUACACAUGCAAGUCGAGCGGCAGCAUGGACUUCGGUCUGAUGGCGAGCGGCGAACGGGUGAGUAACAUAUAGGAACAUACCCAGUAAUGGGGGAUAACUCCGAGAAAUCGGAGCUAAUACCGCAUACGCCCUGAGGGGGAAAGCGGGGGAUCUUCGGACCUCGCGUUAUUGGAAUGGCCUAUAUCUGAUUAGCUAGUUGGUGAGGUAAAGGCUCACCAAGGCUUCGAUCAGUAGCUGGUCUGAGAGGAUGAUCAGCCACACUGGAACUGAGACACGGUCCAGACUCCUACGGGAGGCAGCAGUGGGGAAUUUUGGACAAUGGGCGAAAGCCUGAUCCAGCCAUUCCGCGUGAGUGAAGAAGGCCUUCGGGUUGUAAAGCUCUUUCGGCAGGAAAGAAAUUGCCGUUUCUAAUACAAACGGUAGAUGACGGUAC
rnacentral:rRNA from 1 species